GGCCAACCUCCCCAAAUAUAUAUUUUAUAGGAAGGUUUAUUGAGAAUAUACUUCCUUAUGAUAAUAUCAGCUAAUACCUACGGAACACUUUGCUCCCUGUUUCAACAUCAGCCUCAGGAAGUUAUUAAGCCACGCACGCACUUUAUCCUUCGCUGCCUACCUCACUAUCAGCUUCAGGAGUUCUGUGCUGUGACCAUCACCUUUUGUGACCAGCUUCCUGUAAUAACUCAAAAUCCUCAGCUGGAUUUCAAGAAUUAAGAAUUCGGCGGCUUGCAUUGCUUUUUAUUGAGCCAGACAGGUUUUUAAUCUGAGGUGGCAAAAAAAAACAAAGCCUAAAUGAUGUUACAUCUAGUAGACCAGGGCAUAAGGACUCUUGGGUCCUCUACACUUUUGCUCCCAGAUGUGCUUACCUUCCGUGCUAGUUCUUCUGCAGCCUAGACAUUUGUUGUAUAUUGUUUUGUGACAAAGAAAGCUUGUGCUCCAAAAGCUUACAAAUACAGUCAUCCCUUAGCUUAUAAUGGCCUCAACAUACAAUAGUUUCAACAUACAAUACUUUUCUGGACCAUUGUAACUUGAAACCAGACUCAACAUACAAUGCUACGGACAGUCCAGAUCUGUGAAAUGUGUCAAUACCCGGAAGAACUGGCCAAUCAGAAUGGACAUUUUACUGGUAAAACCCCUGUAUUACUGAAGUACAUGCACUGACUGGCUAGUAGCGCCCCCUACAGUACAGGGAGGUACUACAUGUUCUGUACUCUUUACCUGUGCCAGGGUUAGCUGCUCCUUUGGACACCAGGUGAGGGCGGCUCCAUGUUACUUUUUUAGGACAUUGUGUAUUCUGUACAAAACCCUGAAGAAGCUCCUGUCCUCUACAUAGACCAGCAUUUCCCAACCAG